CGCGUAGGUGGUAGUGUAAGUCUGGGGUGGAAUCCCAGGGCUUAACCCUGGAACUGCCUUGGAAACUGUAUUACUUGAGUCAGUGAGGGGAGGGUAGAAUUCCUGGUGUAGCGGUGAAAUGCGUAGAUAUCAGGAGGAAGGCCCGUGGCGAAGGCGGCCCUCUGGCGCUGGACUGACACUGAGGCGCGAAAGCGUGGGGAGCAAACAGGAUUAGAUACCCUGGUAGUCCACGCCCUAAACGGUGGGCACUAGGUGUAGGGCUCGUAAGGGUUCUGUGCCGAAGGGGAACCAUUAAGUGCCCCGCCUGGGGAGUACGGCCGCAAGGUUGAA
rnacentral:rRNA from 1 species